CAUAGCCACGGUAAUACAGAGGGUGCGAGCGUUAAUCGGAUUUACUGGGCGUAAAGCGUGCGUAGGCGGCUUCUUAAGUCGGAUGUGAAAUCCCUGAGCUUAACUUAGGAAUUGCAUUCGAUACUGGGAAGCUAGAGUAUGGGAGAGGAUGGUAGAAUUCCAGGUGUAGCGGUGAAAUGCGUAGAGAUCUGGAGGAAUACCGAUGGCGAAGGCAGCCAUCUGGCCUAAUACUGACGCUGAGGUACGAAAGCAUGGGGAGCAAACAGGAUUAGAUACCCCAGUAGUCCCUGUCUCUUAUACA
rnacentral:rRNA from 1 species